rnacentral:misc_RNA from 1 species
CUGACAUGACAUGAUGAAUACGAUAGAGUACUCAACCCGCUUUUAUAGAUCAUAGCAGCAGUGAUGCUUCAUAAUUUCUCUCCCUCCCAAGAACAGAGGACAGGGAACCCAAAUCUGCCCGGAUUCCUCCCGUUCCCCCGGCGGCGGACAACUGAAAAUUUUGUUCUUUCGCAGGAACAAAACAAAGGAAAAAAAUUCGACGGAAAAAGGGAGGCGUUUCUCUCUCUCUCUUUUUUUUCACUCUCUGUUCCGAGGCGCCGGAAAACCGCUAAAACACCUGGAGCCGGCCCUCGGACGGAUCGACGAACGCGGGGGGAAUGGAAAUCUUCUGGAGGUAGAGGUGGGAAAAGGGAAAACUUUUUUGGAGCCGGACGGAGUCUCUCCUCUUGGUUUGAUGUUGAUCAGCUUGCGAGCGGCAGCAGGGACGCCAGCCCGGUCACCACCUUCCGCUUGGCCUGCGGGCACAGCUUGCUAGCCGCCCCGGGCUCUUCCGCACGCCACGGCGUCGGCGUCGGCGACACCAUGACCGUGACCUUCUUGCCCGCCCCGUCGUCUUCUCCGCCAGGAAUGCCGCCGUCGUAGUCCGCCGCCUUCGGUUUCUCCUUCUCGUCGAACCACAGCUCGAACUCGCCGGAGAAGGCGGCGGCGGCGGCGGAAACCGGCGUGGCGGGCGCCGGCGUCCUGUCCGCGCUGCUGCUGCUGCGGGCGUGCGGGGACAGCCACUUGGCGCGCAUGUACUCGCGCUUGCGCCACGGCGGGAAGUGGAGCCCGCGCUUGCGGAGGCUCUGCCGCGCCGCGUCCGCCACCACGCCCACGACACGGCCCAGCCGCUCCGGGCUGCCCACGAACAGCGGCGGCAGCGCCUGCAGCGCGGCGCGGUACGCCUUGGUGGGCCGCGCCACCUCGAACUCCGACCGGAAGUCCACCUCCACCACCACGCGGACGCGGACGCGGGCCGCCGCCCCGGCCCCGGGCUCCACGUUCGCGUCGAUGUACUGGUGCUCGCCGGCCGGGUGGGAGGGGGUCCUGUCCCACCGCGACGUGCACACCGCCGCGUCGUACCCGAGCGCGCGCAGCCCGUCCGCCACGGCGCGCCGGACGUCCGCCUUCUUCCGGCCGGAGCCGGACCCGGAGCCGCAGCGCUCCGCGAUCCGGGACGCGUCCGCGAGCAGGUUCCGCUCCGGCGUGCUCGCGCACUGCACCAAGCCCUGGGCGGCGGAAGUGGGGGGAAAAGGAAAAUGGAGAUCAAUUCUUGAUCACUCGACGACGAGCGGCUUCGGGCCGAAUCCGGACAAAAUACGGUACCUUCAGCAGCUCCAAGGCGUCGCCGGCCGCGGCUGGCGCCGCGGCGGGGGCGGAGGCGGACGGCAGGAAGUCGAAGUCCUCGUCGUCGCUGCCGUCCUGGUUGUUGCCGUUAAAGCAGCUGCUGCAUCGCCCACGCGGUGGCCGCUCCGCGGCCGCGGAGGAGUCCUCCAUGAAGCUGAGCACCAUCUUGUCCAGCCCCACCGACCCGACCUCCGCGUCCGCUCCGGCGCCGGACGCCGGCGGCCUCUCGUCCUUGUCCCUCUCCUUGCCGUCACCAGCCAGCCGCUCAGCCGGGGUCACCCGCACCAUCAGCCUCCGGAACAUCGACACCCUCGCCGGCGCAGACGGCCUGCCCUCCAUCGUACCCUGCUGGUUCUUCGCCGGGAACAGAAACGUCAUCGACGGCCGCUACUUUCCACAGCUGCACCGUCCCCUUCCCCACUCAACACAACCACAACUACAACCACCGUCCUCUCUUCACUUGGCAACCAAAACGGGAAUGGCGCGUGCGGCGUGCGCUGCUUAUUACAACCAAACAACCUCUACAGUCUACGCCGCCUUACGUGUGGCCCAAAGGAGACUCGCCGGUGGCGUCCACCUCCGGCGAUUCGUGCUCUCUUCUCCUCUUCGGAGUCGACGAGGACGGAGGAGUGGGACAGUGAGGUAGUGACUACUGAGGUGCCCGGCAAGGUCUUAAAAGAGGGAGGAGAGUGCUGUUUGU